AACGCAUAUUGCGCCCCUUGGCAUUCCGGGGGGCACACCUGUCCGAGCGCCGUCGCAACCCUGAGGCUCCGGCCUUGCGUUGGCGGAUCGGCCCCUUUUCUUUUGGAGAGGAGGCCGGCCGCCGAAACCCCGACGGCGCCGCACCGCGGCCGGCGAAAAUUGCGCAAACAGCAAGAAAAAGCCGGCGAGCGGGACGGCGGCCUGUGAACAAAACCACAAGCUUGGCCUCGGAUCAGGUGGGGAUACCCGCUGAACUUAA
rnacentral:misc_RNA from 1 species